AUUGAACGCUGGCGGCAGGCUUAACACAUGCAAGUCGAGCGGAGAUGAGGUGCUUGCACCUUAUCUUAGCGGCGGACGGGUGAGUAAUGCUUAGGAAUCUGCCUAUUAGUGGGGGACAACAUUCCGAAAGGAAUGCUAAUACCGCAUACGUCCUACGGGAGAAAGCAGGGGAUCUUCGGACCUUGCGCUAAUAGAUGGGCCUAAGUCGGAUUAGCUAGUUGGUGGGGUAAAGGCCUACCAAGGCGACGAUCUGUAGCGGGUCUGAGAGGAUGAUCAGCAACACUGGGACUGAGACACGGCCCAGACUCCUACGGGAGGCAGCAGUGGGGAAUAUUGGACAAUGGGGGGAACCCUGAUCCAGCCAUGCCGCGUGUGUGAAGAAGGCCUUAUGGUUGUAAAGCACUUUAAGCGAGGAGGAGGCUACUGAGACUAAUACUCUUGGAUAGUGGACGUUACUCGCAGAAUAAGCACCGGCUAACUCUGUGCCAGCAGCCGCGGUAA
rnacentral:rRNA from 1 species